rnacentral:hammerhead_ribozyme from 1 species
AUUCAGCUGACGAGUCCCAAAUAGGAUGAAACACGUGUCCUGGAU